rnacentral:rRNA from 1 species
UCUAAGGCCAUACUGCCCUGAACACGACUGAUAGUGUCUGAUUUUGGGAGCUAAGCAGGGUCGAUCCUGGUUAGUACUUGGGUUCUAGAGAAAUCUUCUCAUGAACUUCAUUUAAAUGCUAGUGGUUUUUAAAA